rnacentral:lncRNA from 1 species
CCUGAAGCCCUGCUGACAUUUCAAAGGGCCUGAGUGAUGCUUUGCUGAUGGCUCGUUGUGUGCUGAGCAUGCUGCAGAGGUCUGCAGGAAGGGCUGCUGUUCCCUGGGGCUGCUCUGUGGAUCCAGAUGCCUGUACUCAGGAUGUGAGACAAAAUCUUGAAAACCUGGACAUCUCUGCCAAGCACCUUGCCUUCAGUUCAGGAUGGUGAUGCCAGCGAGAACCGCAGCAGCAGCACACCCCAAGCAGCAUCCUUGCUUCAGCCCAGGGGCUACGGCUGUUCCUUAUCUAACAUUUGAGCAGCAGAUGGAGCACAGGACCAGACAAAAGCUCACAGGAUCACUGUGCUCAUAAAGAAGGAGAAGGAGGGGAGCGCAGCAAUGGUUUUGCUGUUCGGCAUUGCAGCCCGGAGAGGACCGUGUGUUCUUAGCCCUGCCAGCUUCACGUGUCAGUGCUUCCCCUUAGUGUGUGAAGUGCCCUCUGAGUUCCCCUCUUCCUUGGACAAACAUCCACAUCAGAAGAAAAUGAGCCAAAAUGGGCACCAGCCCAAGUGCACCCUGUGUCCUUCCUGCUUUAAAGCAGCUUCUUUGUGCGAAGAGCUUCUGCAGAAGGAAAAAAAUAUUGCUUCGACUUUCAGGCCAGGGAAAAGAAUAAAAUGUGCUGCUCCUGUAUUAAUGCUCCAGUGAAACAUUCACUGGCACAGAGCAGUUGCACGAUGCUUGGCAGUUCAGAAGAGGAGUAAAUACCCUCUUCUGUGAGACAAGAUGGAGCAUAGGAAGAACCAUGGACAAAUGGGAAUGCUGGCUGCCCAGUCGUGCUUUGUACAUGCUGGGACACACAUCCCAGAACCCACUGAUGAGCUGGGGCUGCUGCGUGGCUGAUGCUGGUCGUGGCCACACGUCCCCAGCGAGUGGAACCAUAAGUCCUUUUCUUAGCUGGCGCUUGCAUGUGAACGUUGCUGGUCUGGAAUAAUAAAUUUUUUUUUUAAAGGCCUUAUGACA